rnacentral:rRNA from 1 species
UACGGAGGAUCCAAGCGUUGUCCGGAUUUAUUGGGUUUAAAGGGUGCGUAGGCGGCUUUUUAAGUCAGUGGUGAAAGCUUACAGCUUAACUGUAAAAUUGCCAUUGAAACUGAAUAGCUUGAGUACGGUUGAGGUAGCUGGAAUAUGUCAUGUAGCGGUGAAAUGCUUAGAUAUGAUAUAGAACUCCGAUUGCGAAGGCAAGUUACUAAACCGAAACUGACGCUGAGGCACGAAAGCGUGGGUAGCAAACAGG